AUACGGAGGGAGCGAGCGUUAAUCGGAAUUACUGGGCGUAAAGCGCGCGUAGGCGGCUUUGUAAGUCGGAUGUGAAAGCCCUGGGCUCAACCUGGGAAUGGCAUUCGAUACUGCAGAGCUAGAGUAUGGUAGAGGGAAGUGGAAUUUCCGGUGUAGCGGUGAAAUGCGUAGAUAUCUGAAGGAACACCAGUGGCGAAGGCGACUUCCUGGGCCAAUACUGACGCUAAGGUGCGAAAGCGUGGGGAGCAAACAGGAUUAGAUACCCCUGUAGUCC
rnacentral:rRNA from 1 species